rnacentral:rRNA from 1 species
UACGAAGGGGGCUAGCGUUGCUCGGAAUCACUGGGCGUAAAGGGCGCGUAGGCGGCCUUCUAAGUCGGACGUGAAAUCCCUCGGCUUAACCGAGGAACUGCGUCCGAUACUGAAAGGCUUGAAUCCGGGAAAGGGAUGUGGAAUUCCAGGUGUAGCGGUGAAAUGCGUAGAUAUCUGGAGGAACACCGGUGGCGAAGGCGGCAUCCUGGACCGGCAUUGACGCUGAGGCGCGAAAGCUAGGGGAGCAAACGGG